rnacentral:rRNA from 1 species
GAUAAACGCUGGCGGCGUGCCUAAUACAUGCAAGUCGAACGAGGGGUCCUUGUAGCAAUACGGGGACUUCCUAGUGGCGAAUGGGUGAGUAACGCGUUGGUGACCUGCCCCAAAGAGAGGAAUAACUCCGGGAAACUGGAGCUAAUACCUCAUGUGGUUGCGAGAGUUAAAGGUCUCGCAUCUAAAGGAGAAAUCCGCUUUGGGAGGGGCCUGCGUCCCAUCAGCUAGUUGGUAGGGUAAUGGCCUACCAAGGCUUCGACGGGUAGGGGGCCUGAGAGGGUGACCCCCCACACUGGUACUGAGACACGGACCAGACUCCUACGGUGGCUG